UCCCCGCUGGGCACAGCAGCCCGGGCCCUCCACGCCAUGGCCGCUGGCCUGAGGUGGCCCUCCUUCAGCUCCCGCUCUUCCUGCUCCGCCGGACACGGACGACCAGGGCGCCUGCGAAGAUGAUGCCAUCUGGGAGAGAUAAAGACAGCAGCUCAGCGAGAUUAACUGCUGUGCCCAAGGAUGUGUAGGGAGUGGCAGAGCCAGAUUGAAACCCAAAGCUGCCUGACUCUGGGGCACACAGCAGGAUCAGUUUCCAUUCAUUGGAGCAAAGGAUCUACUGUGAUGCCAGGGUCUCCAUCAGGUGGCCUGUGGUUGUCCUCCUUGCAGCUUUUGUUAUAAGACCCUGCGGUCAGCUCGCCAGCACACCCCGGCAGAGCCCCGAGUCCGUGCGUGCGGAGAAUACGGAAGCCCAGAGCAUCACCCUCCUCACAGCCUCAGCACGCGCUCUGAAUCCUCAUAUCAUCAAUAACAUUGAUACCAACUAAUUUAAACCCACUGAACCAGUGAACUGGGGCUGCAGAUGUGUUUAUGAGCAGGAUACUAAGUAGCUAUUUUAACUAAGUGGAACAUUUCUUGCUUCAAUUAAUGAAAAGGUAGCAACUCUGAGGAAAUAUUAGGGGCAUUAAGUUUUAUAUUGGCGCCAUUUAUUAUAUAUGAUUUUUAACACUUUUAAUCACUUUAUCCAUGUUGACAGCUACUGAGAGAAAAAGAGCUUUCCACGGUGAGUGUGACCCAGGAAUUACUGUCAAGCUGAGACAGAUGAUCAUUGACCCCUGAGUUGCCUUGGUCUUUUGAGGAAAUAGUGAGGAUUUUAUUAGUUUUAUUAAUGGCACUCAGGGAGAUCAAGUUAUUGAUUAGCAAAGAAUGAGUCCUUAACACGCACAUUUCUUGGAAAGGGUAAACGAAGUAGAAGGGAAUUAACAUUUAUUCAGCACCUACUGUGUGCCAGGUGUGUGCUGGGCUAUCUACAUACUGAAUUAAAUCUCCAAGCAGUCCUGUGAGGCUGGCUACAGCGAUGUCCGUUACACAGAGGAGGAAAUGGAAAGACUGAGAUACUUGCUCAUUCAGUAAAACUUUUGCGCCCUGCUAGUUCACGACGGGGCUUAGAUCGUGAAUACUAUAGUACACUCCCUGCCCUCAGGAAGCUUCUAUUCUGGUGGGGGAACUAGAUAUUUAUGAUUAUUUUUGAUGAUUAUAAUAGUGAAACAAGUGCUGGGACAAGCAGAGAAUGGAGGUUCUCUGGGAACCUGGAAAAGGCAAACUUCAUUUAGACCUUAGGGUGAGAAGUUAAGGAG
ensembl:lncRNA